rnacentral:rRNA from 1 species
GACGAACGCUGGCGGCGUGCUUAACACAUGCAAGUCGAGCGGUAAGGCUCCUUCGGGAGUACACGAGCGGCGAACGGGUGAGUAACACGUGAGCAAUCUGCCCUUCACUUUGGGAUAACUUCCGGAAACGGGAGCUAAUACCGAAUACGACCACUUCCGGCAUCGGAUGGUGGUGGAAAGUUCCGGCGGUGAAGGAUGAGCUCGCGGCCUAUCAGCUCGUUGGUGAGGUAACGGCUCACCAAGGCUUCGACGGGUAGCCGGCCUGAGAGGGUGACCGGCCACGCUGGGACUGAGACACGGCCCAGACUCCUACGGGAGGCAGCAGUGGGGAAUAUUGGACAAUGGGCGAAAGCCUGAUCCAGCAACGCCGCGUGAGGGAUGACUGCCUUCGGGUUGUAAACCUCUUUCAGCGGGGACGAAGCGAAAGUGACGGUACCCGCAGAAGAAGCACCGGCCAACUACGUGCCAGCAGCCGCCGUAAAAC